rnacentral:lncRNA from 1 species
GCAGGAACCCUAGCCGCCACGGUGGCUAGCGCGUCUCCCAUGUCUCCUCUCGUUUGUCUGCCCACUACCCCGUGUAUCCGCGCGCGCGGCUUCCGGCUCGGGCUAUACCGUGCUGUUCCACAUCGAGUCCUCGACUACCUCGACUGACGCCAGGCGGUUCAGUAAGGCCCUCCUCCUUCGAAUAUUGUUUGUACAAUGACGAGAUAAUGGGAACUGUCCCGGAUCAUACAAAUCGAGGACUUCUUUCAUUUUUCUUAUAGAUUUGUUCAGCAUAUAUUUGACAAAUUUGCCCUAUUUCCUAAAGAUUAUAUAACACAGUAAGUUUCAUGGAGGAAGUUCACAUUCCAAUGGGUUUUAUCUACAGGUUGCAGAGACAACAACGCUUUUGUGGUUACAGGCUCAAAAUUCCCACCUGUAAGAUCCCCUGUGCUAUUACUAUAUCUGAUACCUUUAUGUUGCACCAGAGAUCUUCUCUAAUAGCAGUCAAUUACAACAAUUUGCAGUGAGUCAUAAAUGUAACAUCUAGAAGCAUAUUGUCACCCCAGUUUUAGAUGUUCAUAGGCGGACUUUUUUCUUCUGUGGUUGAGCGAUUCACCAUUUGUCUGUACUCUGUACCUGUUCAUUUAGGAAUAUUUUUUUUACCUUUUCAUUAAUAGUUCUUUCUUGUGAUGCAUUAGGCUCUAAUUUUCUUGAUUCUACGUGCGUGGAUAAUUGUCCAGUAUUUUUGUGAGGAGGAUCUUGGUAGAUUAGUUAAAUAAGUCGACAAUAUCUCCAAAUAUCCUAGUUAAUAGCCUAUGACCAUGUCAUCAAAGAACAUUUCUUCAAGUAUCAGUUAAUAGGCGAGUACUAUUAUCUAUAACGUCAUGAUUUUCAAGAGAAAAAAAAUCUCAUUAGCGUUAUCAAUCCUUACUGAUUUCUGUUACACGCUUCUGUAGUACUAUAGGAAUAAGCCCACAUGCAUCUCUCUGUCCUAACAUUUCUUUUUAUUGUAUAAUCUUUAGUUUCAUCUUCCCUCGCAGGUUCUGAAGUUGACUAUGUGCUUCAGCCAACACGUGUUUGUUUGUUCUUUAUCUUAACAGGUAUAUCUUCUGGACUUGUGCAUACUGCAAUUAGGAGAUAUAAAAGUCAACACAUACAUAAGAGGCCCUAAAAAGAAUUUGAAGCCUCUGGGAAAUUGAAAUAUUCAACUAUGUAUAAUCAGUAUUAUUGGUUACCUAUUGUCAUUUAGUUGGCUCCAGAAUUCAUAUCAUUGUUAAUAUAUAUAAUGUUUGGAUAAUCAUUACUAUAGUAAAUACAUGUUGAUGGUUCAAAAUGAAUAGCCCCAUCUAAUUUUUCAAAGAUCUCGGUGUUUUACUAUGCAGUUUCUGAUCUGAACAAGUGGUGGAUAUUCAGAACUUGUGCAAGUCGCAACUGAGAGAAUAGAAUGUUGUCAGUUUAUAGAAAUGUUCAAGACUUCAAGUCUCUGUGUUUGUACUUCCUAGCAUGGUGAUGUCCCUUCUGCUGGUGUUUAUUAUGAUGAUUCAUAUAGUAAGUUGAUGCCAGAUGCAAAAAAUAAAAUAGUACAUAGAUAUAGGUUGCAUCUGCAUUUUUAUUAAUAAACUCCUGUUGAAAAGGUUUUGUAUUCACAUUAUUAAUUAGCCCCACAUCUAUAUGUAAAUCAGUGUCUUGGUAAGUCAUAUUUGUGAGCAUGUAUCACAAUACCUAAUUUAGCCUGGUGCAAAUUAUUUUCUUUUAACUACAGUAUUUUUGAUUUGUUGAAAUCUUGCGUCUACUUUUAUUUUGUGGAGAACUCAGAUCUUUCUUAGCAAACGAAAGAUGUGUGGUAUUUCAUUACAUGAUUUUUUUCCCAAGGGGGUACCUCGUGUCUUGCUUAGUAUGCUUUUGAGGUUUAUUUUACUCAGUCGGCAUAUAGCAUUUUUUUCAUAAGAAAACAAGGAUAAAAAGUGAUUGUCAGAUGUAGGCUAGUACUCUCCUUUUCUUUGGCUCCUCCAUGACUUUCUGCUUUGUUGAUAUUCUCUAUCAUAGGUUACUAAUCUCAUUCCUUUGUUGUUCUAGGCUGCAAAGAUAUAUUCAAGAUGCACGGACGUUGAUUGCAAGGUCAAGAAUGGCAAUUUUACUAGAUAAUUAGAAUGUCAUUUUGAAGUGUAAUGUUUCAAACAGUAAGCUGACUGAAUGAUCAAGAAUUAGUCUAGUACUAGAUGGUUUCAGAUAUGUAAUGCUUGUAUCGUGUUCUUUGUAAUGCAAUACAUCAUGUUUAAUAUAUUAUGGGGAUUCCUGCUUAUUAUAUUGUCGCUCCUAUCCAUCGGCAUUGGAAUAAUAAUUUUGGUUCGCAGUAUAAAAUACCAUUAAGUUGUUC